rnacentral:lncRNA from 1 species
CUUGAAGCUCUGUCACGGCAUAAUCUCUUAUAAAUAAAUGUCAGUGUAGUCACUGAAUGCAGACUGGAUUUUUGCCUGACUACGGUGCUCAGCCUUCUAGACAAUAGUUAUGCUAAGGGAUUAUCUUUUAACAUUGUGCAGUUAUCUCCUUUGUUUGUUUUCUUUUUUCAUUAUUCACAUAAGCCAAGGGAAAUGAAAAGCAUCUUAUUUCAGGCAAAAAGGCCUGUGAAUGAUUAACUCUGGUUCCAUGCGUUGGGACUUUGCAUAGCAACCCCGUGGCUUGCAACGACAAAAAAGCUCAAGGCAGGAACAGCAGCCCAGGGACCUGAGACCAGCGUUCUCAAAUGAAGGUGCCAGAUCUGCUGUUAGAGGAGAAUUCUUCUGUCCUAGCUGUGUCUCUGUGAUCUGUGGAUGAGGGUGGGAAAGCACCACUCAGUCAAUUGGGGUGUACAAAAUGGAGUUUGAGAAGGUCUCACAUCCAGGUUGUUUUGAAGCAAAGUCCAAGCAUUGUAUCACUUCAUCUGCAAAUAUUUCAAUAAGUACCCAAAAGUGGUUGGACUGAGUCCCAUGAAGCCAGAUCACUUCUGACUGCAAGGAGCUUGGAAAAGCAAGUAUCUGGAUCUUUUACCAGCUAAAUUUGGAGAAUUAUUGAUCAAAUUUGGAUCUCUGUGUGCUGUCCUCCAAUUUAAUACUUUCUGUGUUGCUGUUUUAUUUUCUUUCUUCUGGAACCUGGCAAAGUGCGUCAAGCGAUGAGGCUUCCUCUUUGAAGAUCACAGGUGAGAAGAUUAGGUGCUUUCUCAGAAGCCCAGCAACCUGAUGGGAGUGUGGAGUGAGCAAGACCCAAAUCGGAGCUUCAUCCCUGCAUGGUUCAUUUUGCUUAUUUGGCAAACUUGCCCUGCAGAAUCUACUCAAGCUUCCUCAGUUUCUCAAAUCAUUCUUGGGCAACAAAUGAACAAGAAAGAGGACGUCUUAUUAUCUGGUGUCUGGCUUGCUGAUUUAAUAACCUAGGAGACAGUGUUUGAAGAACACAAACUCUAAAGUCCUUCACUUAAAAAAAAAAAAAAACUUUCCCAAAUUGCUUACCAUUUGGAAAAAUUGCCUUACCUUCUUCAGUCAUCUCUGAUGUUGUCAUCCUCAGAGUAAGAAGUACGCAUUCAUAAGGAACCAUAACGUCCUUCAGGAAAUCCAGUACACCCUACAAUUUUACCUAAAACUUUGAUGUUGUUUUUUCUGAGCAUUUUACCUUCUAGGGAAAUGGAUCUCAUGCUGUUUAUCAGUUUCUGAAAGUUGUUAUUAAUCUCCCCUCAUCCCAAAAUUGAAGAACUUUGCUUAAAUCUUAGAAUCAGAACUUUGGCUCCAGUAAUAAAGACUUUUCAAUAUCUUUAUCUGCCAUUGAGUCUUACCUAACGAAAUAAAGCCUCCAAAGUGGGAAUUUGAAAUGUUUUAGAAUCUUUUUUUUUCCUUUUGACAUAGUGAUUGGUGGGAUGCUACAGGCAGUUAGUGGUUAGGGUCCAGAAAUGCCAGACAUCUUGCAGUGAGAGGGAUAGUCUGUACAAGGAAGAAUUCUCACAUGUUCUGACUAACACUGGAUAUUAUUACAGGUGAAAACAUUGGAAUCUUGUGAACCUCAACCUGUGUUUUACAUAUGUAUACAUGAAGUGAGUUUUGUAUGCUUUAUUUUUUCACUAUUUGAAAAAUGUAACUGCUUAUUUUCUAUUGUUGUGUAACAAAUCACUAUGCACUUAGCAGC